AGCGGCGAACGGGUGAGGAACACGUGAAGAAUCUGCCCUCCACUUUGGGAUAACUCCGGGAAACCGGGGCUAAUACCGAAUAUGCUGUGGAGUGAAAGAAUUUCGCCGAAAGACGAUCUUGCGUCUGAUUAGCUAGUUGGGGUGGUAAUGGCUCACCAAGGCGACGACGGGUAGCCGGCCUGAGAGGGCGACCGGCCACACUGGGACUGAGACACGGCCCAGACUCC
rnacentral:rRNA from 1 species